AGCACCGGGAUUCAGGUUUCAUCCUACCGAUGAGGAAUUAGUUAGGUACUAUCUACGCCGAAAGGUCUGUGGAAAGCCAUUCAGAUUUCAAGCUGUUACUGAAAUUGAUGUGUACAAAUCUGAACCUUGUGACCUUGCAGGAUAUUCAUCGGUGAAGAGCAGAGAUAUGGAGUGGUACUUCUUCAGCCCUGUGGAUAAGAAGUAUUGUAAUGGAUCUCGGCUUAACCGAGCUACUGGUCAAGGAUAUUGGAAAGCUACUGGGAAAGAUCGUCAUAUCAGCCAUAAGUCUCAGGCCAUUGGGAUGAAGAAGACUCUCGUUUUCCAUAGUGGUCGAGCUCCCGAUGGCAAGAGAACUAAUUGGGUAAUGCAUGAGUACAGGCUUGCGGACAAAGAGUUGGAGAAGGCUGGAAUCGUGCAGGAUUCCUUUGUUCUAUGUAGAAUCUUCCAAAAAAGCGGUUUGGGACCACCAACUGGUGACAGAUAUGCACCAUUUAUCGAGGAGGAAUGGGAUGACGAUUCAGCCGUGCUUCCUGGAGGAGAGACAGAGGAUGACGCAGUGAAUGGUGUUGAUGCACGAGUUGAGAGCAACGAUCUUGACCAGGAUGCUCCGCCCAAGAUUGCUUGCGAUAAUGAGAACGUGAUUGAACUUCGAAGUCUUCCAUUUGCUUGCAAGAGGGAGAGAUCAGAAGAACCUGAACUUCUCUCUUUAAGCCAAAACAAGAAACCGAAGCAUGAUGUUCCAAGCUCUAGCCGUGCAAAUGGUUCUGAAGACUCAACUAUUACUAGUAAAGAUCCGGAGAAUAUGAUGACGACAAAAGAUUACCCUCUAGCUCUCUUAGGAUUCCCGUUGUUAGAGUCCUUCGAGCCCAAGGAUCCCCAACCUUCUAAUCCCCUCACAUUUGAUUCCUCCAAUCUUGAAAAAUCCGUCCCUCCAGGCUACCUGAAGUUCAUCAGCAAUCUAGAGACGGAGAUCCUAAAUGUCUCCAUGGAGAGGGAGACGCUAAAGAUUGAAGUAAUGAGAGCUCAAGCCAUGAUCAACGUUCUUCAAUCGCGGAUUGAUCUCUUGACCAAAGAGAACGAAGACAUGAGAAAACUUGUCCGAGGUGGUUAGACAAUAACAGCAUUUCGAUUCGGUUUAGGUUUGUACUACCUUCAGGAAGAGCAAGAUAUAGUAAAAAGAUGUUUGAAGACAUUUCUGUAGUUCUUGUUGUAACCUGGAUCAU
rnacentral:misc_RNA from 1 species